UUGGUGUGAACAACAAGCUCAACUGCGAAUCGCACUGUCAUAUCAAUGUUUGUGUUUUGUAUGUGUUAUCAUUUCACUAUCGCGGCGCUGAUAUACGCAUCGUUAUCUUAACGUCGUCGUUGCUCGUAAAUAAUUAUUGUCAUGUCAUGUUUUUAGUAUUAAUGUUACUAGUGUUACAAAGUUACACAUUUUUCAUCCAGGUGUAAUUGUUUUAUUAUAACUAAAAGUCUCUUAAUGUUAUGUAGUACCAGGUUUUAUAUUAUUCAGAUUUUUUGGAGAACGUGAAUUUCAUUUCUUGUUAUAAUUGUAUUUUUAUUAUAGGUUGGUCAGUAUCAUACUUGUAUAAGCUCAUCUCAACACCAGUGUUGUGAGCCAAAAAUGCCUUUCGUUUAAGUUAUACCUAUGUUUGACAGUGUGCGCCUAGGUGGUUGGCUCGGUAGUCACGCGAUUAAGGGAUCUUUUUAGAUAUUAUUGUACAAAUGUGUAAACGGUAUAAAGCGGUUGUGCAGGUGUAAAACUACUACAACUAAUGGACAACAAUUUCAAAAGAACGAAAAUAUUUAAAGAAUGCAAAUUAGAAAAAGAAAAUUCGAAAAUUGGAAAAAGAAAAGUACAAAAUACAGAUAAGUUACGUAUUUUACAAAAUAAAUAAUUUUAACUGUAAUAUACUAAUAUACAUAUUAAGAUGUCAUAUAAUAAUUAUAUCUAAAAACUUAAUACUUUAUACUUUAUAGGUAUUGUGAGAUUUUUUCCCCCUGUUAUUAUUAUUACAUUUUUAUUUGUCUUCAAUAAAAUAUUAAUUUAAUUAGAAUAGAUAUUUAUAUUUAUUUAUAACCAAGGUGUAUAUAUUAAUAUAUUAUAUUAUACUACUCAGUAAAAGUGAAAACGAACAAAUAACAAAUUAAUGUAUUUUAUACUAUCGGCUAUCGCUUUCUUAUAAUUAAUGUACCUACAUUGUACACAUAAUUUUAAACAAAUUUUACAUUUACAAUAAUCAUUUUAUUUUGUAGUUUUAAAAUUAUAGUGAAGAACUUAUUAUAAAAUGUAAAGAAUUGGUUCUUUUUACAAAAGUGAAGCUUGUGCUGAAUAGAGAGGUGUGACGUAGAUAUGAAAAAGAAAAAUUAUAAUAGAACAAUUAGUAAUUAGCCUAUAGGAUAUGUAUGUAAGCAUACGUAAGUAAAAUGUUAAGUUUAGCCUAUUUUGUGGAUUAUAUACCUACUGACAUAAUUAGAAGAUUUAAUACAAUUUAAAUGUUAUUAAAUAAUAAUGAUAAACAUUACUUUAAAUUAUUAAUGGAUAUUUAAUUCCCCACGACCAGUGAAAUAGUUGGUUGGUAAAUUUAUUGGACAUUAUUAUUAUUAUUGUUAGAAUGCAUUCAACAGUCCGUGGCCUAUAGAAACCGCCUGGCGGGUGGCGACCGAACCGUGAACACCCAUAAAACGCAGCUGGCAGCUGUACCUACAACGGAUUUUAUUGUCGUCUCCCCUUCGACGAUCGUUUCAGCCACUACAAAUAAAUUUCGUUAUUGUUGAACAUGAGUACAUGACGACUGUUUCGUAGCCCCACCGCUGAUGAUAUUAUUGUCAUUCAUCAUCCUGCAACGAUCUACCACCCCACCCACGGGCUACGGUUGACGUGGCGUUCACUUUAUAGCACGGUCUCGGAUGGUACCUGGUUGUAGACUUGUAGAACAUGAUAAAAUAAAAAUUAUUUUAUCAUGUUGUAGAAAAAUAAUAUGUAGAUUUUUGCCGUGAUUAUGGCCCCUUUGGCACAUCUAAGACACUGUCACAUCCCACAUAUUUCGCACCAGACAAAAAACGUUGGUCAUACUUCUCUACCGGCUAGCGUAGCGAGCUACGUUAGCAUGAAACGUAAAAACACUAAAAACAUUUCGCCUCCACGGACUCGCACUCUCGCAGUCUCGCGUUACCCGCUCGGCGCUCACGCAAAAGUGCAAGAUGCACACUCACUAGUCCGUUCGACACCAGCUCUCUCGCUUCCUACUAAUCAAGUUUCGUGAUAUUCCACGUUGAAGUCACGCACGCGAUUAUCCCGACGAUCCGAGUCACGACGACACGACAUCGCGUCUACGAAAUUUGUUGAGUUAUUCGUCUCUUUUGUCAUAGGUAAUGAUGAUAUGAUCGCGAUUCACGUUAUUUUUUAUCAUAACGUUGUGUUGGCGUGUUGCAUAUCUACCUCCAUACCUCUACCGCAACAACGUUGGAAAUACAUGAGGGAAACAGCCAACAGGAGUACCUCACUCGCUUAAAAUUUGCUAUGUUGCGCGUGGGUUAGAGAGAGAUAACAAAUACUACGCUGGCAUCCUCUAAAAUAUUACACGGUGGUCAAUUGUGGCCAACAGAGAUGCUUUGAUAAUUUUUUUUACAAACAAGACGCGAGACGAUGAUGUGUUCUGCGAGCAGGUCGGGAGCCGCAAUGUUGGCCCUACAUAACGAUGAUAAGGUCGAUUGAUGAUAUCACAAAUAUAAUAUGAUGCAAUUUUAUAAUACAUCGCAUUACCUACAUAAAUUUCAUAUAUUAUCUUUGAACUAUUUCUGUCACUUAUAUUGUUAUUGUCUAUAUUAUAUUUUUAUAUUGUUUUUAUAGUUUUUAAUUUUAAUGUUAUUAUUUUUAUUUAUACUAUACUAUUUACUGUAUUUCUUUUUAUUAGAUUUAAGUCACAAAAUUGUUAUUAAAUUAUAAAAAAUUGUAAUUGGGUCCUACCCGUUUAAAUUAAUAAAUAAAUAAAUAAAUAUGAAUACUUUUAAAUUAUUACAUUUUACUUUUGCACAAAUCUCAAGGUUCGUAUUAAAAUUGAAACUUCGUAGAAAAUCCAACGGAAGAACACAUAAUGCCCAUUACCCAUAAUUCUAAAUUUGAUAAUAGGUCAAUUAAUUUUAAUUUUGAAGCCAAUAACACAAGGUUGACAUUGAUGCCGACAACUUGUUCUGCUCACGGUUUCAAAAAUUGCUCACAAGCGGGUCUCAGUGUACCUACAUUUUAUCAAUUUACUUCAAGGCAUUAAAGACUCACAAGUGAUAUUGAAAAUAUAAAUGAGUUACAAUAUUUGAAGUGGAUAUCCUCAGAAGAUUAGUUGAAUACUCAUCUUCUGAAGAAUCCCUAUCAGAAAAGUCACCAAUCAAAAAGGGUAAAAGUUGACAAGAAAAAAACAAAAAAAUCCCAAAAAUUGAAACAAUAAAUCAAUAAAGAUUAAACUGAAAAAGGACUUGAACAUACAUCUAAAACAGGCAAAAUAAUUCCAGUCAAAAUUGUAAACAAAAAGUUUUGUAAUGGUUGUGCUUAUAAUUGUUUAUUUAAUUUUGAUUAAGAUGAAAUAAUAAUUAUUCACGAUUUAUACUAUAGUCUCAGCAGAAAAGAUAAACUUGGAUUUAUACUUAACUAUACAUCAUUAAUUACUUCAAAAAGUAAAAAAAUCAAAGGACAACAUUUUUGCAGGAAACAAUUUAAGAUUGAUAAAGUCGAUGGAAAGCAAUAAAAUUGGUAAAACUUGUCCAUCAAAACUAGAAACAAUAAUAUUAGGAACUAAUGAAGUUGCUUCAGUCCAAGUCAAGUACUGAAAAACGCACUGUGGACACUAGACAUACUCAAGAAAUUUGACGUUUGAAAAUUUAUUAAGAGAACAGAGCAAUGAUUGCAGGUUCUUUAUUUAUAUACAUAUAAAUCUUAAACAGAAAUAUCAAACAAUAAAACUAAUUUAAUUAAGGCAUAAUUUUGGUAUAGUUGCAAAGCAAUUUUUUAAAUCAGAAUUUAUUCGUUAGACUUAGUGUCAAAGUUAUAACAAUUUGAUAUAUGUCAUUUUUAUGUUUAUGGCUAUCAAAAACCUAUAUAUAUGGUGAAGUAUUAAAAAAUUUUACACUGAGAAAAUGAAAUAUUUUAUUUGUUUUGAUAAUU